AUAGGAAGCUGGGUCCCUGUGGAAAAGCUGAUGGAAGUGGCUGAGGGUUGGUUAGUGAUUUCUUGGACGCUCUCUCUGCAAGUCUGUCUUUGAUACUGCCUUAUACCCUAAAUAUAGCACAGAGUCUCCCAUCUCCCUGGGAGUGAUAACUGGACCACUGUGGUGGCACGUCUGAGCAAUGAGAGGUGGCCUGGCUUUGGAAGGAAUUCACAUUUUCCAAGAGGGUGCCUGUGCUGUCUUUCCCUUCUUCUGCCUCUGUCUGCUCCAUGGUCAGCACUCCACCCCAUGCCAUGGCUAUACCUUGGACUCCGAAUAGAGCAAAGGGGAAGGGUGGCCACCUGAAAUCUGGGCCAGCUUGGCUUUGGCACUAAAUAGCAUCUUCUAAAGGCCUGAUUCAGAGUUGUGGAAAAUUCUCCCAGUGUCAGGGAUUGUCAGGAACAAGGCUGCUCCUGUGCUCACUUUACCUGCCGUGUUUCUGCUGGAGAAGGAGGGAAGAGGAAUGGCUGAUUUUUACCUAAUGUCUCCCAGCUUUUCAUAUUCUUCUUGGAUCCUCUUCUCUGACAACUGUUCCCUUUUGGUCUUCUUCUUCUUGCUCAGAGAGCAGGUCUCUUUAAAACUGAGAAGGGAGAAUGAGCAAAUGAUUAAAGAAAACACACUUCUGAGGCCCAGAGAUCAAAUAUGAGGUGGAAUCACUGACUUUGCACAACUUGGGGACAGUACGUUUAUCAUGUGGACUCCAUUGGCUGACAGCGACAUGACUUUGCCAAUUCUGUACCUACACGGGUAACUGCCUCUGGGGGUGGCAACUUGCUGACUGAUGUAAAUAGGGAGGAGUGGAAAUGUGAGAGGAUAAAAAUUCUUGCAGAUAGUACACAGAGAUUUUAAAGAGCCACAGAGUCUCCAUAUGAUGUGACGAAAUGCCACUGUGUGCCUGGGAGGUUGAGUGUAGGGGCAAGAUUAUUACUGAGUUAGGGGGUGGAUUAAGCUGUAGUUAUCAGACCUGUUUGACAAUCUGGGAGACAGGAACAUGCUUUUAAGCAUAACCUAUAGUCAUCUAAAUGACUCAUAUUGAGAACCAAUACUAUAUUAUUUAUUUAUACUCGUGUUGACUCCCAUAGGAGUCAGGGCAGCUUACAUAAAAUACAGCAAGAAAGUUGUAAACUAGAAGGAGGUGAGCAGGAUAUUCCAAAAGGGAAGGUACAGGCAGGGUAAUCCAAAUGGAGCAUCGCUGAAGCUAACACAAAACUCAACCUUGACACUGUAACACAUUCCCCGAGGGUGGGACUCCCUCCCGCAUCACAGUCAAACGCAGUGUCUCUAACUGGGUCUGUGGUCUGAACUGAUGACAAAAACUCAGGGUGGAUGGGAGGAAACAUUCAUGUCUCCUUCAGUGACAAAGGAGAAGACAGCCACUUCUGGUCCAGCCUGUUCCCUGAUACACAGGAAACAGGUUGGGAAACAAUUUUUCUUGGUCCAUCCUGUUUUACCUAAUGGGCCCCUAUAUGUUGUAAGCUGCUGCCCUUGC
rnacentral:lncRNA from 1 species